GACGAACGCUGGCGGCGUGCCUAACACAUGCAAGUCGAGCGAAUGAAGUUCCUUCGGGAACGGAUUUAGCGGCGGACGGGUGAGUAACACGUGGGCAACCUGCCUCAUAGAGGGGAAUAGCCUUCCGAAAGGGAGAUUAAUACCGCAUAAGAUUGUAGUACCGCAUGGUACAGCAAUUAAAGGAGCAAUCCGCUAUGAGAUGGGCCGGCGGCGCAUUAGCUAGUUGGUGAGGUAACGGCUCACCAAGGCGACGAUGCGUAGCCGACCUGAGAGGGUGAUCGGCCACAUUGGGACUGAGACACGGCCCAGACUCCUACGGGAGGCAGCAGUGGGGAAUAUUGCACAAUGGGGGAAACCCUGAUGCAGCAACGCCGCGUGAGUGAUGACGGCCUUCGGGUUGUAAAGCUCUGUAUUCAGGGACGAUAAUGACGGUACCUGAGGAGGAAGCCACGGCUAACUACGUG
rnacentral:rRNA from 1 species